rnacentral:rRNA from 1 species
GAGAUAGCUGGUUCUCCUCGAAAUAGCUUUAGGGCUAGCCUCGCAUUAGUUUACCGGAGGUAGAGCACUGAAUGGUCUAGGGGGCCUCACCGCCUACCGAAACCUAUCAAACUGCGAAUGCCGGAUAAAUGAUGUGCGGGAGUCAGGCCGCGAGAGAUAAGUUCCGCGGUCAAAAGGGGAACACCCCAGAUCGUCUGCUAAGGUCCCUAAGUACGCGUUAAGUGGGAAAGGAUGUUGGAUUGCACAGACAACCAGGAUGUUGGCUUAGAAGCAGCCACACAUUCAAAGAGUGCGUAAUAGCUCACUGGUCGAGUGAUCCAGCGCCGAAAAUGUAACGGGGCUAAAACGCGACACCGAAGCAGCGGGAUGCGUAAGCAUCGGUAGAGGAGCAUUGUGUGAGGGUUGAAGCCAGAGCGGGAGCACUGGUGGACUUCACAGAAGAGAGAAUGCCGGUAUGAGUAGCGAGACCCAUGCGAGAAACAUGGGCGUCGAAGGCCCAAGGUUUCCUGGGGAAGGUUCAUCCACCCAGGGUAAGUCGGGACCUAAGCCGAGGACUGAGGUCGUAGGCGAUGGACAGCAGGUAGAGAUUCCUGCACCACUUACACUUGUUUGACGAAGCAGUGACACAGAAGGAUAGGACGAGCGCGGUGAUGGUCAACCGCGUAGGCGGCACGAGGCCGGGAAGCAGUGAAGUACACUUCCCGCAAAGGCUGAGUGUUGACAGGACCGAAAAGAAGUAGGGAAGCGUCCGAGUUCACGCUGGCGAGAAAAGCUGCUAAGGAGAGUGUGAGUGCCCGUACCGGAAACCGACGCAGGUGGGCGAGGAGAGAAUCCUGAGACGGACGGGAGAACUCUUGUUAAGGAACUCGGCAAAAUGACCCCGUAACUUCGGGAGAAGGGGUGCCUCGAAAGAGGCCGCAGAGAAUAGUCACAAGCGACUGUUUAGCAAAAACACAGGUAUCUGCGAAAGCGAGAGCUGACGUAUAGGUGCUGACGCCUGCCCGGUGCUGGAAGGUUAAGGGGAAGUGUUAGGGGAAACCCGAAGCAGAGAACCGAAGCCCCAGUAAACGGCGGCCGUAACUAUAACGGUCCUAAGGUAGCGAAAUUCCUUGUCGGGUAAGUUCCGACCCGCACGAAUGGCGUAACGACUUGUGAGCUGUCUCAACAGGAGGCCCGGUGAAAUUGAAGUAUGUGUGAAGAUGCACAUUACCCGCGACUGGACGGAAAGACCCCGUAGAGCUUUACUGUAACCUGACAUUGGAUCUUGAUAACGGAUGCACAGGAUAGGUGGGACGCUGGGAGACGAGGACUUUGGUUUUCGUGGAGCGGCCGUUGGGAUACCACUCUUCUGUUAUUGAGAUUCUAACCUCAAGCCGUGAGCCGGAUGAGAGACAGUGUCAGGCGGACAGUUUGACUGGGGCGGUCGCCUCCGAAAGAGUAACGGAGGCGCCCAAAGGUACCCUCAGAAUGGAUGGAAACCAUUCGAAGAGAGCAAAGUCAGAAGGGUGCUUGACUGCGAGACCAACAAGUCGAGCAGGUACGAAAGUAGGGCUUAGUGAUCCGGCGGUAAGAGAGUGGAAUUGCCGUCGCUCAACGGAUAAAAGCUACCUCGG